GACGAACGCUGGCGGCGUGCCUAAUACAUGCAAGUAGAACGCUGAAGGAGGAGCUUGCUUCUCUGGAUGAGUUGCGAACGGGUGAGUAACGCGUAGGUAACCUGCCGGUAGCGGGGGAUAACUAUUGGAAACGAUAGCUAAUACCGCAUAAUAGUAGAUGUUGCAUGACAUUUGCUUAAAAGGUGCAAUUGCAUCACUACCAGAUGGACCUGCGUUGUAUUAGCUAGUUGGUGGGGUAACGGCUCACCAAGGCGACGAUACAUAGCCGACCUGAGAGGGUGAUCGGCCACACUGGGACUGAGACACGGCCCAGACUCCUACGGGAGGCAGCAGUAGGGAAUCUUCGGCAAUGGACGGAAGUCUGACCGAGCAACGCCGCGUGAGUGAAGAAGGUUUUCGGAUCGUAAAGCUCUGUUGUAAGAGAAGAACGAGUGUGAGAGUGGAAAGUUCACACUGUGACGGUAUCUUACCAGAAAGGGACGGCUAACUACGUG
rnacentral:rRNA from 1 species